rnacentral:rRNA from 1 species
UACGUAGGGGGCGAGCGUUGUCCGGAUUUAUUGGGCGUAAAGAGCUCGUAGGCGGUUCGAUAAGUCGGAUGUGAAAUCUCCACGCUUAACGUGGAGGGUGCAUUCGAUACUGUCGUGACUAGAGUCCGGUAGAGGAGUGUGGAAUUCCUGGUGUAGCGGUGAAAUGCGCAGAGAUCAGGAGGAACACCCGUAGCGAAGGCGGCACUCUGGGACGGUACUGACGCUGAGACGCGAAAGCGUGGGGAGCGAACAGG